GACGGGGGAUGCAAGCGUUGUUCGGAAUCACUGGGCGUAAAGCGCGUGUAGGCGGCCUCUUAAGUCUGGUGUGAAAGCCCGGGGCUCACCCCCGGAAGGGCACUGGAUACUGGGAGGCUAGAGUACCGGAGAGGAGGGUGGAAUUCCUGGUGUAGCGGUGAAAUGCGUAGAUAUCAGGAGGAACACCGGUGGCGAAGGCGGCCCUCUGGACGGCUACUGACGCUGAGACGCGAAAGCGUGGGGAGCAAACAGG
rnacentral:rRNA from 1 species